rnacentral:tRNA from 1 species
UACGAAACCCUGCGAGUCACUAAUGUUACGCACUCGUAAUGCGUAGGUCGGGGGUUCAAUUCCCUUCACCA